AACGAACGCUGGCGGCAUGCCUAACACAUGCAAGUCGAACGAGACCUUCGGGUCUAGUUGCGCACGGGUGCGUAACGCGUGGGAACCUGCCCUUAGGUUCGGAAUAACUCCCCGAAAGGGGUGCUAAUACCGGAUAAUGUCUUCGGACCAAAGAUUUAUCGCCUUUGGAUGGGCCCGCGUUGGAUUAGCUAGUUGGUAGGGUAAAAGCCUACCAAGGCGACGAUCCAUAGCUGGUCUGAGAGGAUGAUCAGCCACACUGGGACUGAGACACGGCCCAGACUCCUACGGGAGGCAGCAGUGGGGAAUAUUGGACAAUGGGCGAAAGUCUGAUCCAGCAAUGUCGCGUGAGUGAUGAAGGCCGUAGGGUUGUAAAGCUCUUUUACCCGGGACGAUAAUGACAGUACCGGGAGAAUAAGCUCCGGCUAACUCCGUG
rnacentral:rRNA from 1 species